UUCAAUUCUGACAUUGAUGAUAUUUGUAUUAUAAUUCUUGGAUUCUCAAUAUUCUUAUAUUCAGGUCAGUUGAUUAACCUUAUUUCUAAUUAACAAACUAAUAGUAUGUCAUUUUAAUACUUUGUGAAAGGAUUGAUUGUAUGUAUUGAAUGGAGGAAUAUUUGGAGUAUGAAAGAGUAAAAGAUUAAAUCAUUUUAUAAAAACACAGAGUCAUAUUAAACAUUUUAAUAUAAAACAUUCUAGUACUUUAAAUAUUAUAAAGUUACAAUAAAAGUGAAAGACAGAUAAAUUUGGAAUUUGAAUAAUACAGAACUCUGAAACUACAUAUUUUAGAUGUAGUUGUAUAUUUUAUUUAAUUGGUGAAAUAGUCCUGCCACUGGACUUAUGAAUGUUAUAUUUGUAUUUAUUCAGGAUAUGGAUUGAUACCUUAUCAAGUUGUCAAAUGAGUAGUGCUCAGAUUUUAAUGUACACAGCACUGUGAUAUUCCAGCUAGUACACUGACCUUUGUACCAUAUACAUGGUAAGCAUUGUGUUCUAUGUUGUUUAUUUGUAAUGUCUGUACUGUCUAUGUUUUAUUCAAGUAAUUGUCUUUUAUGUGAAGUGUAUUUAUGUAAUAUCUUUAUGUUGGUCAGAAUUUGUAUACUUUGUAUACAAAUAUAUUUAUUAAAUGGACAACUCAUUAAUAGAUUUGAGAUGUAUAUUAUUAUUAAUUAUUAUGAGAUACAUAUGAAUAUUGUAUUGGAAAGUUAACCAAAGAGUUAGAUUUGAGUGCUUUUAGGACUUAUUUCAGUAAAUAGAUAUCUAAAGGAAUAAAUAUGAAUUGUAGUUUUUCCCCUUGCCCAUAUGUUAUAUUGUACUGUCUUGUCAUGUGAAUAUUUAUUAUUUGUUUAUUAUAAUGUUGUAGGGUCUUAAAUAUUUGUGUAUUAAAAGAACAGAACCCUAGAAUAGUUUUCGUUGUAUUUGACCAGAAAAUACCCCGUUACAUUUGGCGCCCAAC
rnacentral:lncRNA from 1 species